rnacentral:sRNA from 1 species
CUGACAGUCCUGAAGACUGAAGUCCUUGUUAUAUCCACAGAACAGGUGCAGAGUGGGAAUGGUAGGACUAGCUUCCUCACACUAUUUCAGCGUUAACCUGGAAGGACCACAUUCACUUGCCAUGCCAUUGAAUCCAUGGCCUCUCUCUUGUGAACAGGA